GCGCCGUUGGUGUAGGGGUAGCACACGACCUGACCUUGUUAUACACACUAGAAUUGAGGGUUGAGUCUUGGGUUUGAAUCCCAGAUGGCGCA